rnacentral:rRNA from 1 species
GAUGAACGCUGGCGGCGUGCCUAAUACAUGCAAGUCGAGCGAACAGACGAGGAGCUUGCUCCUCUGACGUUAGCGGCGGACGGGUGAGUAACACGUGGAUAACCGACCUAUAAGACUGGGAUAACUUCGGGAAACCGGAGCUAAUACCGGAUAAUAUAUUGAACCGCAUGGUUCAAUAGUGAAAGACGGUUUUGCUGUCACUUAUAGAUGGAUCCGCGCCGCAUUAGCUAGUUGGUACGGUAACGGCUUACCAAGGCAACGAUGCGUAGCCGACCUGAGAGGGUGAUCGGCCACACUGGAACUGAGACACGGUCCAGACUCCUACGGGAGGCAGCAGUAGGGAAUCUUCCGCAAUGGGCGAAAGCUUGACGGAGCAACGCCGCGUGAGUGAUGAAGGUCUUCGGAUCGUAAAACUCUGUUAGUAGGGAAGAACAAAUGUGUAAGUAACUAUGCACGUCUUGACGGUACCUAAUCAGAAAGCCACGGCUAACUACGUG